CUUCUGACGAGUCCCGAACAGGACGAAACAGCUGUCCAGAAC
rnacentral:hammerhead_ribozyme from 1 species